rnacentral:tRNA from 1 species
CGGGGUGUCGUAUAAUGGUAGUAUACCGGCAUCGGGAGCCGGCGGUCCCGGUUCAAAUCCGGGCACCCCGA